rnacentral:rRNA from 1 species
GACGAACGCUGGCGGCGUGCUUAACACAUGCAAGUCGAACGGAAAGGCCCUGCUUUUGUGGGGUGCUCGAGUGGCGAACGGGUGAGUAACACGUGAGUAACCUGCCCUUGACUUUGGGAUAACUUCAGGAAACUGGGGCUAAUACCGGAUAGGGGCUCCUGCUGCAUGGUGGGGGUUGGAAAGUUUCGGCGGUUGGGGAUGGACUCGCGGCUUAUCAGCUUGUUGGUGGGGUAGUGGCUUACCAAGGCUUUGACGGGUAGCCGGCCUGAGAGGGUGACCGGCCACAUUGGGACUGAGAUACGGCCCAGACUCCUACGGGAGGCAGCAGUGGGGAAUAUUGCACAAUGGGCGGAAGCCUGAUGCAGCAACGCCGCGUGCGGGAUGACGGCCUUCGGGUUGUAAACCGCUUUCGCCUGUGACGAAGCGUGAGUGACGGUAAUGGGUAAAGAAGCACCGGCUAACUACGUGCCAGCAGCCGCGGUGAUACGUAGGGUGCGAGCGUUGUCCGGAUUUAUUGGGCGUAAAGGGCUCGUAGGUGGUUGAUCGCGUCGGAAGUGUAAUCUUGGGGCUUAACCCUGAGCGUGCUUUCGAUACGGGUUGACUUGAGGAAGGUAGGGGAGAAUGGAAUUCCUGGUGGAGCGGUGGAAUGCGCAGAUAUCAGGAGGAACACCAGUGGCGAAGGCGGUUCUCUGGGCCUUUCCUGACGCUGAGGAGCGAAAGCGUGGGAAGCGAACAGGCUUAGAUACCCUGGUAGUCCACGCUGUAAACGGUGGGUACUAGGUGUGGGGUCCAUUCCACGGGUUCCGUGCCGUAGCUAACGCUUUAAGUACCCCGCCUGGGGAGUACGGCCGCAAGGCUAAAACUCAAAGGAAUUGACGGGGCCCCGCACAAGCGGCGGAGCAUGCGGAUUAAUUCGAUGCAACGCGUAGAACCUUACCUGGGUUUGACAUGGAUCGGGAGUGCUCAGAGAUGGGUGUGCCUCUUUUGGGGUCGGUUCACAGGUGGUGCAUGGCUGUCGUCAGCUCGUGUCGUGAGAUGUUGGGUUAAGUCCCGCAACGAGCGCAACCCUUGUUCACUGUUGCCAGCACGUUAUGGUGGGGACUCAGUGGAGACCACCGGGGUCAACUCGGAGGAAGGUGGGGAUGACGUCACGUCAUCAUGCCCCUUAUGUCCAGGGCUUCACGCAUGCUACAAUGGCUGGUACAGAGAGUGGCGAGCCUGUGAGGGUGAGCGAAUCUCGGAAAGCCGGUCUCAGUUCGGAUUGGGGUCUGCAACUCGACCUCAUGAAGUCGGAGUCGCUAGUAAUCGCAGAUCAGCAACGCUGCGGUGAAUACGUUCCCGGGGCU